UGUUGCUGCUGCUGCUGCUGCUGCUGCUUUCGAUGCUAUUUGCUGCUGUUAUAAUUUUCUAGUUGCUGUAUUGGCUCCGUUCUUUUAUCUCAUCUAGCCCGUGGAGAAGAUUCGCACCAAAUUCACUCGACACAAAAAAAAUGACAAGUAAAAGCACACACACAUAUACACACAAACAACCGCACGUAACGCAGCCAAAAGAGAGAAAUAUUUAUUUAUGAAGAAGAAAAAAGCAAAGUUUCAAAAAAAAAAGAUUUAUUUUAAACGAAACUUGGUUGUAUUUGCCGUAGGCAAAAGUGUCGUAAAUGUUUUUUUAGUUUUACGUUAAAAUGUGAAUUGAAUCAUUGGAUCCCGAUUCGGUAAGGGUUCGAGUGAACGUUGCUCGCUUUCUUUUGAUUUUGAUUAAAAUGUAUUUUAAUUUUAGAAUUACACUCGAUUCGUCUAUCUGUCUAGGGCGGUCACUGAAAUUCACCGCCAUAUUUAUUUUCUGUCAUGCCACACACAAAAAAAAUAAAAUAAUACGCACACUGUCAACGUUUAAGUAUGGCUGCCUAAACUUCAGCGCCAAAUCGGAUACUUAAGUUUCAUGAGAUGCGAAAUUGAAAUUUUUCGAUUGAUAUUCACUUUGGGCCAUUUGAUGGCAAGCUUCCGGUCAGCUUGAAGCCAUCGAUAAUGUACCUAAAUCGUAAGUAUUUGCUUCAAUUAUUUCUGCUGUGGUCGUUUCGAUGUGUGCUCAAUAGCAACAACAACAAUAACAGAAAACCUUUGCAGCCAGCAGUCUUUGUGUAUGUUUUUUUUUAUUUCACUUUUCAUGCUUCCAUUCGUGUCGCUUAUCUGUUGAUUUAAUGCACUUUUAUUUGAAAAUUUCAUAUGUUUCACUACCUGUAACGCCAUCGUGCGCCGCAACACUGAAUGUCGGCAAGAAACACACAUCACAUCGAUCGAAAGCGAAAAAACAGAGAACCCAACGAGAGAAUAAUUCUAUUUUUUGCACAACCAACUGGAUGCAUAUCGAAUGAUCGAUCAAAUUGUAGGGCUAUGAAUGAAUACGUUGUUUGUCGUUUAUUCAAUCAACCAACCAGUCAACAUUAUUCAUAGGUUUGGUAUUAGCUAUCAAGAAUAAAAAAACACAAAAACAAAACGGAAAUGUCUAAUAGCACAAAUAUUCUUUGAUAAACUUAUUUUUCUAAAAAAAAAUUUCUCAGAAUUUUUGUUUUCUGGUAUAUUUGUUCAAAUACUGCGAACGAAAAAUGUGCGAUACAUUUUCAUAUUUCUUAU